CUGAAGCUGGCCGUCAAAAGGUGAUAACACUAGCUAACAGGGGCUAAUACCGCAUAACCCUAUUUUCCGCCUGGCAGAACUCUGAAAGGCGCUUUUGCCCCAAUGGUGGAUGGACCCGCGGGGCGUUACCUAUCUGGUGAGGUAACGGCUCUCCAUGGCCUCAAAGGAUAACCGACCUGAGAGGGUGAUCGACCACACUGGGACUGCUACACGGGGCAGACUCCUACAGUGAGGCAGCAAGUGAGGGCGACAUCUCUCUGGAUAAUGGCACGUAAAGUCUGACCGAGCAACGGCCCUGUGAGUGAAGAAGGUUUUCGGAUCGUAAAACUCUGUUGUUAGAGAAGAACAAGGAUGAUAGUAAAAUGUUCAUCCCUUGACGGUAUCUAACCACAAAGCCACGGCUAACUACGUGCCAGCAGCCGCCGGUAAUACUUAGGUGGCAAGCGUUGUCCGGAUUUAUUGGGCGUAAAGCGAGCGCAAGCGGUUUCUUAAGUCUGAUGUGAAAGCCCCCGGCUCAACCGGGGAGGGUCAUUGGAAACUGGAAGACUUGAGUGCACAAGAGGAGAGUGGAAUUCCAUGUGUAACGUUGAAAUGCGUAGAUAUAUGGAGGAACACCAGUGGCGAAGGCGGCUCUCUGGUCUGUAACUGACGCUGAGGCUCCAAAGCGUGUGGACCGAACAGGAUUAGAUACCCUGGAUAGUCCACUCCGUAAACGAUGAGUGCUAAUUGUCGUACGUUUCCGCCCUUCAUGCUGCACCAACGCAUUAGCCCUCCCGCUUGGGAGGGGACGCAUGUUGAAACUCAAAGAAUCGACGGAGGCUCUCACACCUUAAAUCUGAGUUAUUCGACCACCAAAACCUACGGGCUGAAUCUUGACCUCUCAGAAGGAUCCCUGGGGGAAAUUACAUC
rnacentral:rRNA from 1 species